rnacentral:tRNA from 1 species
UAAUAUAAGCUUUAAAAGUGUAGCUUUGAAGAAGCUAAGAGUUUGUUAUAUAUUUUUUAA